UCCAGAACCUAAAUCCAACCAUUUCUGCCCACACCAAGAGCAAGGCCGCGGAUCUGUCCAUCUGAGAUAAUGCCCUGCGCUCUCUGAGCUCGCCAGGCUGACGCAGGAGUCUCUGGAGCCGACACUCCCAACAUCAACAUCCUCCUCAUGAUCGUGCCCGGGCACCGGAGGCUCAGAGGCUACUCUUCCAAGGUCACAUAGAGCCACGAGGACCAGGCUGAGAUCCACCAAUUAACGACGAGAUUCCACAUCACGUGUGCGCGGAGGCUGAGCCCCACGAGUCGACGUCACCCCAGCGGCACGAGCUUGGGUGAUGAAGCGGGAUGGGAGCUAUGUUGGAACCGCUGCUGGAAACCGACCAGAGCGACCUUCCCCAUGAGGAUGGAACCCCACAAACAGUGAAAGGAUGUUCUUGCAUUUCAAUUCCAUGCAAUACUUCGCUAGUUUUCACUGGGCACACAAUGCUGCACUGGUCUUGCUUCUUCGAUGGUCUUCACUGGUCAUAGAGAGAAACAUGCCAAAGAACUUCUUGUGGUAUUCCGGCUAAUUCUUGUCGCUUCUGUUGACUCAUGCAGAUUUGGCAGAGCCUGUGGUUUCUGCUGGAUCAAGCGGCUGCUACUGAUUCUUGUUUAGUGUUUGCUAUUGGACUGGACUGCUGCUAUCCCGACAAUGAAGAGUGGAAUUGCCCCCAAACAACUCCUUCUAAACAGGAACUCUUGAAACUGUUAUCUGAAGGGUUUGCACUUAUUGAAGCUCCAGUUAGCAUUGGGAAAAAAGCAAGUUGCAUCACAGCUUCAUCAAUAGAAAAAAAAAAGGGUUGUCAGCCUAUUUGCACUCCUCUUUAAACAUCUGGGGAACUAUGGAAUGAAUAAGCCAAAGAAAAUCAGAAUUCAUGAAUUCAGAGACAACCUUUGGGAAUCACUUCUCCCUUCUACUGUGUUCUGUGAGCUCUCAGCUACUGCUCCAGCACCCUGCCUUCCUGCCACCAAGAUCCCUGCCAUGAUGGUCAUGGACUCACCCUCUGGAACUGAAUCUUCCCACUGGCAUUAUCAUCAAUGUAAUAAUAGGCCCACAGGGUCUAAAAGAGGACAGCUGGGCGAAAGGGAUAAAGGACAAGCCAGGAACUCACUGCCUUUGGGGAUCCAUACAGGCAGAAAGAGAAGGCACUCCUUAGAAUGCUCCGUGAGAGGAGAGCGACUGCACAGCUGGGUGCCUCCCUUACUCCCGCCUACUUCAACACCUUAUCCCUUCCUCUCCAGCUGCUGUGAUUUCCAGCCCUAAAACUGGUCCCCGGUCAGCACUCAGGAUGGGCAAGAGAAUUCCUCAGCUUCCCGGGAUAAUUUCUCGAGUGUCGGAGGCCUUGGAGAUUUAGCAAGGAUAGAGAUGAAGCUAUCUUCUAUGCUGAGAAAGGAACCGGUUC
rnacentral:lncRNA from 1 species